rnacentral:misc_RNA from 1 species
AGAGUUACCGCAUAUUCAGCACAGGUAAAGUCCAUAGCUGGUCUCCUUUCGUUAGGUUCCUUAUCAUUAAGUUUUUCAUUUUGGUUUUAGAAAUAGGCCUGCUUUAUUAGUUUCUUUGUUUUUAAUAUUGUGGUCACAGAUGUGGUUUGUUUGUUUAUACCAUUGUUCUUGAAUUUUGUUUUGAAAUGAUCGAAGCUGCAAAAUGAAUAACUUCUAUUCUAUUGCAAUGGUCCUGAAUCCUGAUAAUUGCAUUCAGAGAAGAAUUGUCCAUAGUUAUAGCCUGCACAUGGAUGACUCUUUGAAGAAAAUCAAAUUGGAUGAAAAAUACCAUCUAGGCAUAUACCAUGAUUUGCAUUAAUUAUGAGGAUUGAUGCCUUGUUUUUUUUAAGCAAUGAAAAUGUUCCCAUGGAUCCAUCCAUUAUGGACCUUGAUUAGCAUAUAAUAACAUGUUUGUCUUAAGUUGUUGCGGGCAAAUGUCUUUUCAUGGAUACAUUUUUCACUUUUUCUGUUUCUGCUAUUAGUUGUGCUCGUGGCAGUUCA